GAUGAACGCUGGCGGCGUGCCUAAUACAUGCGAGUCGAGCGAACAGACGAGGAGCUUGCUCCUCUGACGUUAGCGGCGGACGGGUGAGUAACACGUGGAUAACCUACCUAUAAGACUGGGAUAACUUCGGGAAACCGGAGCUAAUACCGGAUAAUAUAUUGAACCGCAUGGUUCAAUAGUGAAAGACGGUUUUGCUGUCACUUAUAGAUGGAUCCGCGCCGCAUUAGCUAGUUGGUAAGGUAACGGCUUACCAAGGCAACGAUGCGUAGCCGACCUGAGAGGGUGAUCGGCCACACUGGAACUGAGACACGGUCCAGACUCCUACGGGAGGCAGCAGUAGGGAAUCUUCCGCAAUGGGCGAAAGCCUGACGGAGCAACGCCGCGUGAGUGAUGAAGGUCUUCGGAUCGUAAAACUCUGUUAUCAGGGAAGAACAAAUGUGUAAGUAACUAUGCACGUCUUGACGGUACCUAAUCAGAAAGCCACGGCUAACUACGUG
rnacentral:rRNA from 1 species